CGCGGGGUGGAGCAGCUCGGUAGCUCGUUGGGCUCAUAACCCAAAGGUCGCAGGUUCAAAUCCUGCCCCCGCUACCA
rnacentral:tRNA from 3 species